ensembl:lncRNA
UGGCCGACUCCACCGCGAGGGCUCCGGUGCCGGUGUCACCACAAUAUGCAUUGACUUAGGGGUUCGAUUGCCUUCUCCCCUCCUCCCUUUCCUCUCUCUCCCUCGCUCCUCGCUCUUUGCCUACAUCAAUAUUACCAGGCUUCGGAGGGAGGCAGGACUCGCUUCCGACCUAAGCAUCCGCCGACCCCAUCCUCUGUCGAGUGGGAAACAACAAUGCAGAGACAGGGAGGCAGGGGGGAGAGGGUCGCCCGGAGGCGGCGGCGCGGCUGUGGCCGGCGGCGGGCCGGGUGCAGGAGGCGACGGCGGAGGUGGCGGGGUGGCGGCGCCUGUCAGCCGGGCACGGGCAGGGCGCGGGUCCCCAUGGCCCCGCGGAGGACGGCCCGCUCUCCCCGGCCAGGGGCACGCCGCGUCUCCGCUGCCCACGGACUGCGGCCGGAGGUCCGCCCGCGGGCGCCGGGCUCCGACUGCUGACGCCGCCUCCCCCGGACCUCGGGGCCGAAUCGCCUGCGCUGGGCCUCCCGAGAGCCACAGUCAUCUUCAGUCCCCGGCUAAGUUGCCGCCAUCUUCGUCCUGGAGAAGCACUUUUUGGGGGGGAGCGCCGGCUCGUGCGUCAUCUCCUCCUCCCGCGCCGCGCUCGCUCCCUCCUGGCGCAUUGGCACCGGGCUCGGCCCGGCAGAGGGGGAGGCGAGGGCGCCGGGGGUCCGGGGUGGGCGGGGGGAGCCCGGCUGGGCCCGCAGGCCGGCCUGAGCGGCUGCGCGCUGACGCCUGCCCUGCCUUGCCGUCCGCCAGCCCACCCCUAGCCCCGCCACCUUUGGUUUUUUUCUGUUAUUACUGAUAAAAGUCAGACUGCGGACAGCAAGGUUUGAGGAUGCCUGCUGAAUUUCUUCGGCACCUCCUGCUCCCUCUCGGACUCCGAGAAAAAGUCCGAGUUGCGGCGGGUGGGCAGAGGCUUCUAGCGGGCGAGGGUCUGGAUGUUGCCGCCUUAACUAGACAAUGAGCGUGGGCUUCCGACGAAAGGCUGCGGGCACGGGAGGAAACCCGAAUUGGCUGGCGGGGGGCAGAGGAGGGACACCUGAUCUCUUUGCAUGUCUCGGGAUCCCUGGACAACUAAACAUCAACAGCUUCCAGUGUAUUAUCUUGUCAGAUGAUUUUAGUACAUGGCAGGGGUAAGGCGUGUGGCAUACAUCCUUAGCUGUAUGUAGGACAGCGACAUUUUUCAUAAAGUCAAAGAUUAGAAGUGGCCACAUAGAGUAUCAGAGAAAAAUACUAGGACCUCGCCUUCCAGCCUUCACUGACUAGCCCACCGUUUCGAGUUCCAAUCCUCCUGACCUCGGAGGAUUCCUCCUCCGAUCUGGAGCAUCCCAAGCUCUCGUGAACCCCACUCCGAAGACCUGCGCCCAGCCCCCACCGAGCUGGGCUCUGCCGUCGCCCAGGACUUCCGCAGCACCGUGCCGUCAGGCUGCCCUGACGGGUGGCAGCUGUAGCAAUCCGAGCCUCUGGUGCCCCUUAGCGUUGGCUCUUGGAGUUCCGAGAAGGAAAAGCCUGUCACGCUAGGAAAAUCAGGGGUCCUCUCGACCCCGCCUCAUGCGGGUCAGUGCUGUGGGCAAACAUCAGUCUCCUUUUAUGUGAAGACCGUGCUCACUCCGCCCCUCACGCCCACCGAAGCUGCGAGGGCAGGACACGGAGCCGGUGCCGGCGCCUUCCCUGGGCGCGCGCCCGGAGCGCAGCAGAGGACGGCGGUGUGUUCCACUGAGCACUCACUGUGGCAAGCUCCUUCUCUGCUUUCGAAUGACUCUAACUAUUCAGUAGGGUGCACAUUGACAUGAGCAGUGUUAGUGUGCCAUCGCUCUAAGUAUGCUGAGAACCCAAAAGGACGGAUCGUCCGUAUUCAUAUUCUUUUUAGAGGUGCUGUGAGUGUUGACACCGGGGAGAAGUGGCUAUUUUUUAAAAAGCAAGUUGCAAAAGAUAAUUGGCAAGAUUCGACCAACUGGUCCUUUCUGUGGCAUAGUAGGGUAUAUAUUAAUACUAAAUUUUACCCAUGUUAAAUUGUAAGUUUCUAAAAACUCCGUGCAGUGGCCAUCAAGGCUUGGUGCAGUUUGACAGCUGGUUGAUCUAAAAGUGUCAUAUAAUGUUUGAGAAGACAACCUGUGUAAGUAUACCAUUCUGGUACUUUGGCUUUUAGCGUGCUGAAUUUUAACUCCAUAAAAGGUCUAGAAACUAAAAUAUAUACUUUCUAUGGCAGGUUUAUCCUUAUCUUAUAGCAUCUUUAAGCAAAUUUCCAGGUUCUGUUGAAAAUUUAACAUAAAAAAAACCCACUUUAUCUGAGCUUUGUAUAGAAAGCAGAAGCUGAGGAAAUAGUCUUUUCGAUUCUUCUCUUUUCAUAGUUUAAAUUAUUUUGACAUUGAAUAAAAUAUUUUUCUUUUAAAAUAUUUUUCUUUUU